rnacentral:rRNA from 1 species
CCUACGGGUGGCUGCAGUGGGGAAUAUCGCACAAUGGGCGCAAGCCUGAUGCAGCCAUGCCGCGUGUGUGAAGAAGGCCUUCGGGUUGUAAAGCACUUUCAGCGGGGAGGAAGGCGUUAAGGUUAAUAACCUUGGCGAUUGACGUUACCCGCAGAAGAAGCACCGGCUAACUCCGUGCCAGCAGCCGCGGUAAUACGGAGGGUGCAAGCGUUAAUCGGAAUUACUGGGCGUAAAGCGCACGCAGGCGGUCUGUCAAGUCGGAUGUGAAAUCCCCGGGCUCAACCUGGGAACUGCAUUCGAAACUGGCAGGCUAGAGUCUUGUAGAGGGGGGUAGAAUUCCAGGUGUAGCGGUGAAAUGCGUAGAGAUCUGGAGGAAUACCGGUGGCGAAGGCGGCCCCCUGGACAAAGACUGACGCUCAGGUGCGAAAGCGUGGGGAGCAAACAGGAUUAGAUACCCUUGUAGUC